rnacentral:misc_RNA from 1 species
CUCGCCGAAGCACAAGACAACGUCGCCUGCCUUCAACCUCGCUGCAUCACUGAAGCAACUCGUCGGUGCUCCUCGCAGUAGAUAGCAUCAAAAGAUAGGCAGAUGAAGUCAGUGGUAGAUGCAGAAGUCAGUGGUGGUGGCCGUCGAUAGGCUCUUCCACCACAAGAUCUACAACCGCUAUGUCAAACGCACCUCCAAGUUCAUGGCACAUGACGAGCACAACCUUUGCAACAAUGGUGAUCGAGUUAGACUGGAUCCUUCUAGGCC